UGAAUGCAGACCAGCUCAAAUGUUGAAGCCUACAAAUAUAUCACCCAAGCUUUCAUUUAUGAUUGUUCAUGCUUUGAAAUUGUGAUGUCAGAAUUUGAUAAAGUGUGCAGUGCAAGGUGUAGCAAAUCAUUGCUUAUUAAAUCUACUGUGUUAUCUAAUAGCACCAAACUAAUAGAGCUAUCACAUAACUGAGAAACAUGUGUGGCUUAUUACAAAUGGAUGAAACCACAUAUUACCUUAAUGAAGACAGUAAUCUUUAAUAAGGUGUAGAAAAAAGAGGUGAGUUGUUUGUUGCUGUGGUAAACAAAGAAGUGUACUGAAUCUUUUGGACUACACAGAUUGAUGUAGUAUUGACUCUGAUGCUGAUCUGAGUUGUCUCAUUCUGUAUUUUUGUGCUUUGUCUUUUGUUACACAGAGUGAAAGAGAUCUUUGGUUUUGCCUUUGCUGACUGCUGAUCUGAUCGUCUCAAGUCUGGUGACCUGCUGCAGAAAACCCUCUCCCUCUAUCAUUAACAAGCAAUCCAGUCUGUCCUAUCACUCUCCCUCUCCCUGCUCCAUCUUUUUUGACAAGCCAUUCUAUCUUCUAUCAUUUCUCCGCCAUGAGCUCUAUCUAAGUUGACAAGCUUGAACCUGAGUUGAAACGCAAUCCUGUGAUUUGAAAUCAAGUUUUACCAGAAUCUAAGUUUUUGGAAUUGAAGUUACCAGAACUUCGUCGAUCUGUUUUCAGAAUUCUGAGAGAUCUCCGCUCUCACUGCUCCAUCUUUCCUGUCGUUAAACUCUCUCACAUCCAGUCAUUUUGCUGGAAAUUACAAGUAAAAAGUUGAAUAUACAGUAAUAGAAUUACAGUACAGUAGAACUCACUGUAGAAACUACUUACAGAGCCCUACAUUUGUCAUUUUAAUUUUGCAUUACACUUUGAAAUAAACACUGAUAGUUUGGCUUACAAGUGCAAUUUGAUAAAUUAUAUAAACUUAUA